rnacentral:rRNA from 1 species
GACGAACGCUGGCGGCGUGCCUAAUACAUGCAAGUUGAGCGCUGAAGGUUGGUACUUGUACCAACUGGAUGAGCAGCGAACGGGUGAGUAACGCGUGGGGAAUCUGCCUUUGAGCGGGGGACAACAUUUGGAAACGAAUGCUAAUACCGCAUAAAAACUUUAAACACAAGUUUUAAGUUUGAAAGAUGCAAUUGCAUCACUCAAAGAUGAUCCCGCGUUGUAUUAGCUAGUUGGUGAGGUAAAGGCUCACCAAGGCGAUGAUACAUAGCCGACCUGAGAGGGUGAUCGGCCAAAUUGGGACUGGGACACGGCCCAAACUCCUACGGGAGGCAGCAGGAGGGAAUCUUCGGCAAUGGACGAAAGUCUGACCGAGCAACGCCGCGUGAGUGAAGAAGGUUUUCGGAUCGUAAAACUCUGUUGGUAGAGAAGAACGUUGGUGAGAGUGGAAAGCUCAUCAAGUGACGGUAACUACACAGAAAGGGACGGCUAACUACGUG